GUCGACGUCUGCAACACUAAAACUGGCGAGCGAGUGAAAGUAAUGCUCUGCUAAAAGAAGACAAAAUUAAUCAUUUAUAUCGUACGUAUGUUGAAUCUGAUUGUGUUGUGCUCGCGGUAUCCGCUCAACUUUGGUGAAAAUAUACGUAAGAUCUUCUAUUAUUAUGCGAUACAAGUGAACAGUGACGUGGUUUUGGAAAUUUCAAAUAUGAGUUUUUUGUCGUGUGAUUAUUUUUGAGUGUUGGGUGACUUGGUGACUUUUUUAAAUUUUACUCGUUGAAUCAUGGGAUGUGUUUUUACCACGUGAUUUAACAGAUAUCAUUUUUGGAAAUCACCACGUGCUGAAAGUUCUUCAUUGUGAAUCGUAUACAACUCGCAGAUAAUCGAGAACGAUACGGUUUUGUUCGAAGCUUUUGAUCUCAAUAGCGUGAAAUAUGCCGUACAAUUUGAAACGUUGUACAACGAUAUUGAAGUGUGUUGGCAGAAAUUUCGUACAAAGUGCAAAAUAAGCAUCAGUCGAGCGAGCCGGGCCAAAAUAAACUAACACGAAUACGUUCGGUGUAUAGAAAAAGUUGAAGAAGCGAGUCAACAGGAUGGAAGAUAAUUGCGCCGGAGAAUUUGAAAACAUCGUUACUUCAGUGUAUACGAUAACCAACGAUCCACGAUUUGCCAGUCUCGGCUUCAAACCGCAAUGCCUGGCUAAGGUUUUAAAGAAAACCUCUAAUGAGCAAAAUGGUUUCGUUAUAUUUGCCCGCAGAUUUCUCAAUAUACCGAUGGAUGCAGCGUUGUAUUUUAUAGUAGUUACCUUGUUGGUUUUCAUUGUGAUCAAUUUAACGUGUAAAUUAUUGCUGUACGUGUUCACGUGAAUGUGAUCGCAGGCCAGAUUUAUACAGAUGGAUUCGUGAAAGUUUCCAUUCAAAGAAGAAACACUAAUGAAGAAAACCCUAAACUUGUGCGUAAAGAAGAAACCUUUCCAUCACGGUUGCUUUCAACAAGAGGUCAGUGUAAACAUUUGAGCACCACUGAGAAGAAAAUACGUUCAACGUCGUAGAUUUUCCAUUCACCAAAAAGCAUAUUUCUUACGAUACGAUGUGUACAUAUGUAGUACCAUGUCGUUAUAAAGGGAAAGUAAUUGAAGGGGGAUAUCUAUUUAAUUUCAUUAUUAUUAGAUGGUUACAUUUAUGAUUAAAAACCAGUAUAGUACAGAUACUGCGGAGCUCGAGUGAAAUGCAUGACGAUACUACGAUAUGGCUGAAAGGCGAAGUUGGCAACGAGCCACGGUUAAUUACAUUUUUGAAAGGCUCGAAAGGAAAACAAGCUUUUCAUAAUUUUAUUAAGAUUUAUCAGGCCGGAACGAUAUGAAAUGAAAUUUCAUAUCUAGAUGCGAAAAUCGUAAAAUAAAUAAAAUGAGAAAUGUACUCUACUCGUAUAGUCUCAUAUAACGUGCUACCAUCGCCACACGUCAGUAAAGGGAAAAAAAGAAAUAUUUCGAAGAAUUUUUAAACAAAGGUAUCCUCAUCAUGAUGAAAUUUUUAUUUCUUUAAAUUAAAUUUCGAUACCAAAAUACCAAAUAUUUGUAGUAAACAAAGAUUCUUUAUUAUCUGGCGUUCCAAAGUGAAUUCCAAAUUUCCAAUAAAUAUAAAAACAGAUUUAUUGGAUUUUACAAAUAAAUAGGAUAUCUACCAGUAGGCUUAUGAUAUUUCAUUUCAAAACCAUAAUAUUAAAAAAUACCAUUGUUACGAUUGACUGACUUGAUUACAAAAAUAACCCUCGAGGGCUAUAUGUCAAUUGUAUCUGAAUUUAUUAAUACAAUAAAUUACAUUCCAAGUGAAACAAAUAAUAUUCCAGUGACAAAUACCUUAGUGUGAUUUUUACAAUAUUUUUUAUAACUUAUUUGUGAACUCGACCCUGUGUCAAAUUAUUCAAAUACAUAAUUUUCCCUAA